UACGUAGGGUGCGAGCGUUGUCCGGAAUUACUGGGCGUAAAGAGUUCGUAGGCGGUUUGUCGCGUCGUUCGUGAAAACUUGGGGCUUAACUCCAAGCGUGCGGGCGAUACGGGCAGACUUGAGUACUACAGGGGAGACUGGAAUUCCGUGUAGUGGUGAAAUGCGUAGAGAUCGGGAGGAACACCUGUGGCGAAGGCGGCCGACGUGGGCCGACCUGACGCUGAGGCGAC
rnacentral:rRNA from 1 species